GUCCACUAGCUAGCUCACCCACCUAAACCCAAUAACCCCCUAUUUAUAACCCCAAAUUAAACUACCAACAUUUUUAAACAAAUCAUUUUUCCCCCCAAGUAUGGGCGACAGAAAAGGACCUCUCGUAAGCAACAGCAAUAGUACCGCAAGGGAACGCUGAAAGAGAAAUGAAACAAAUCAGUUAAGCAUAAGAAAGCAGAGCUCAGCCCUCGUACCUUUUGCAUCAUGAUUUAGCAAGAAAGCAUCAAGCAAAAAGUCUUUUAGUUUGAUACCCCGAAACCAAGUGAGCUACUCCAAGACAGCCUUUAGGGCGCACCCGUCUCUGUGGCAAAAGAGUGGGAUGAUCUUUGAGUAGAGGUGACAGACCUACCGAACCUGGUUAUAGCUGGUUGUCCAAGAAUCGAAUAGGAGUUCAGCCUUUUGCCAUCUUUCCCCAAACACCGGCCACUCCCCAAGAGUUAAAGAUAGGCAAGGGAGUUAAUCAAAGGGGGUACAGCCCCUUUGAAAAAGAUACAACUUUACCAGAAGGGUUAAGAUCAUAUCAUUCACUUAAAGGACCGUGUUCUAGUUGGCCUAAGAGCAGCCACCCACACAGAAAGCGUUAAAGCUCAAACACCCCUCCUUCCCAUCAUUUAGACCACCCCAAUCUUACCCCCCUACACCUACUGGACCUUCCCAUACCCCUAUGGGAGAGACUAUGCUAAUAUGAGUAAUAAGAGACCCCGCGUCUCUCCCUGCACAAGUGUACAUCGGAACGAACUAACACCGAAAAUUAACGGCCCCAUUCCCAGAGGGAAAUGGAACAUUAUGAUCAAGCCACUAGAAACACACCCAAAUCACCGAACCGUUAACCUUACACCAGAGUGCAUACAAGGAAAGACUAAAAGAAAAAGAAGGAACUCGGCAAACACUUCUAGCCUCGCCUGUUUACCAAAAACAUCGCCUCUUGCAAUUUAAGAAUAAGAGGUCCCGCCUGCCCAGUGACUAUAGUUUAACGGCCGCGGUACUCUGACCGUGCGAAGGUAGCGCAAUCACUUGUCUCUUAAAUGGAGACCUGUAUGAAUGGCAUUACGAGGGCUAAGCUGUCUCCUUUUUCAAGUCAAUGAAAUUGAUCUCCCCGUGCAGAAGCGGGGAUACCCACAUAAGACGAGAAGACCCUAUGGAGCUUUAGACACUAAAGCAGACCAUGUUAAGGAACCCCCAACAAGGGCCUGAACCUAGUGAUUGCUGCUCGACUGUCUUUGGUUGGGGCGACCACGGAGAAAAACGAAACCCCCGUGUGGAACAGGGGCAGCCCCCCUUAAACCCAGAGUGACAACUCUAAUGAACAGAACUUCUGACCAAACACGAUCCGGCAAAGCCGAUCAACGGACCGAGUUACCCUAGGGAUAACAGCGCAAUCCCCUUCUAGAGCCCAUAUCGACAAGGGGGUUUACGACCUCGAUGUUGGAUCAGGACAUCCUAUUGGCGCAGCCGCUACUAAGGGUUCGUUUGUUCAACGAUUAAAGUCCUACGUGAUCUGAGUUCAGACCGGAGUAAUCCAGGUCAGUUUCUAUCUAUGACAUGAUUUUUUCUAGUACGAAAGGACCGAAAAAAAGAGGCCUAUGUUAACAACACACCUCACCCUCACCUGAUGACGACAACUAAACCAGAUAAGAGGGCAUAUUCCCUUGUCUAAGAGAAAGACUG
rnacentral:rRNA from 1 species